UCAAUCCUGAGAUGUACGCGAAGCUUAUUAAUUUUAACCUACAUGAUAAAUACGGGAUUUGCAAAAAAGCUAAGGAAAUCGGGCUUCAAGUUUUAACUUCACUUUUGUGACAGAAGAUGAUCGAAUUAGUUUGAGUGGAACCCACCUGCGAGAGGCAGGUAUAAAAUUAUAAGUGUGACGGCAUAUUUGGGAACAUU
rnacentral:other from 1 species